UACGUAGGGACCGAGCGUUGUCCGGAAUCAUUGGGCGUAAAGAGCGUGUAGGCGGCUAUUUAAGUCCUGCGUGAAAUCCUGCGGCUCAACCGCAGACGGUCGUGGGAAACUGGAUGGCUAGAGUGCGGGAGAGGAGAGUGGAAUUCCCGGUGUAGCGGUGAAAUGCGCAGAUAUCGGGAAGAACACCCGUGGCGAAGGCGGCUUCCUGGCCUGUUCUUGACGCUGAGGCGCGAAAGCUAGGGGAGCAAACGGG
rnacentral:rRNA from 1 species